UACGUAGGGUGCGAGCGUUGUCCGGAAUUAUUGGGCGUAAAGGGCUCGUAGGCGGUCUGUUGCGUCGGGAGUGAAAACCCAGGGCUUAACCCUGAGCCUGCUUCCGAUACGGGCAGACUAGAGGUAUGCAGGGGAGAACGGAAUUCCUGGUGUAGCGGUGAAAUGCGCAGAUAUCAGGAGGAACACCGGUGGCGAAGGCGGUUCUCUGGGCAUUACCUGACGCUGAGGAGCGAAAGUGUGGGGAGCGAACAGG
rnacentral:rRNA from 1 species